rnacentral:tRNA from 1 species
GGGCGCGUAGCUCAACGGCAGAGCGCCGGACUUUUGAUCCGGUGGUUAUGGGUUCAAGUCCCACCGUGCCCU